AAUCGGGCCGUCAGACUGGCCCUGUAUGCCAGAUCAGGUCUGUGGGCCAGCUGCAUAACACUCAUCUGGUUCUCAGGGCCAGGUGACUUGGGUAUCACUGUCUUACAAUAUUUACAUAGGUAUCUAACUUUCCUCCUUGCGAGCAGUCCUAUUAACUUAAAUAUAUUCCUUAUAGAUACAAGUAACCCUAUGAUGACUCUACUGGGACAGUUUUUAUCAGUUCCAGGCAAACUGGAUCUCAGUGAACAGCAGCUUGAUAAUGGAUCCUUACAAACUGUGGCCAGUCGUGCCGAAUUUCAUUCAGAACCAGAUCUUCAGGGCUCAACAAAAGUUACUUUAAUUGGGCCUGUCUUGAUAGGAACCCAGAAGCUUUCCUCCCAAAGAUUGGGAAAGGGAAAACAGGAGAUAUCAAGCCGCGUCAUAAUAAAGGAUGUAACUGCAAGCGCUCAGGGUGCCUUAAGAAUUAUUGUGAAUGUUUUGAGGCUAAAAUUAUGUGUUCCUCUAUUUGCAAAUGCAUUGGUUGCAAAAAUUAUGAAGAAAGCCCAGAUAGAAAAACACUAA
rnacentral:lncRNA from 1 species